rnacentral:rRNA from 1 species
AUUGAACGCUGGCGGCAGGCCUAACACAUGCAAGUCGAGCGAGCGGCGGACGGGUGAGUAAUGUCUGGGAAACUGCCUGAUGGAGGGGGAUAACUACUGGAAACGGUAGCUAAUACCGCAUACCAUCGGAUGUGCCCAGAUGGGAUUAGCUUGUAGGUGAGGUAACGGCUCACCUAGGCGACGAUCCCUAGCUGGUCUGAGAGGAUGACCAGCCACACUGGAACGGAGACACGGCCCAGACUCCUACGUGAGGCAGACGUGGGGGAUAUUGCACCAGGGGCGCAAGCCUGAUGCAGCCAUGCCGCGUGUAUGAAGAAGGCCUUCGGGUUGUCCAGUAAUUUCAGCGGGGAGGCUUUACCCGAAGAAGAAGCACCGGCUAACUCCGUGCCAGCAGCCGCGGUAAUAC